rnacentral:lncRNA from 1 species
CGGAGGAAGAGGGCGGUGGGCGGCAGCUCCACCGGCAGGGGCGACAUCGGCACUGACCUUCCUGCAGGUGGGUCGCUGCUCGAGCUGGAGCGAAGGGAGCGAGGCGGCCUUGAACUCAGCAGCAGGACUCCCCACUUGGGGGACUUUGAGCUUGAGGGGGUGUGCCAGCUGCCAGACCAGUCGCCUCCCAGGGACAGUGCGUCUCAGGCUGAGGAAGCCUCCUCCUGGGGACAGUUUGGGUUGGGUUCCAGGAAGAGGCUCCUUCCUGCUGAGGAUGAAGCGGAGUGUCAAGCCAAGAGAGUGUGUGAGGAGCAGCGAGGAGACGCAGAGCUUGGCAGGAGCGAGGAGCCGUCUCCAGGUGCCGGUGGGCGGCACCUCCCCUCCAUGGGGGACGACGACGUGUUCGUUCCAGGUGAGUCUGGCUGGCAGUGUGGGGCAAGGAGGCAUCAGGAGGCUGCUUUGUCGGGGGCACCACGGGACCGUGCUCACCUUGUACCCUGGCCGUAGGUUCCACGCCCCCGCCUGGCUGUGCGCUGCGGAGCUGCCUCUCGGCCAGCGGCCUGCAGGCCCUCACCCAGUCCCCGCUGCUGUUCCCAGGGAGGACACCUUCCUCGCAGGAUCCCGAUGCCAGAGAUGAGGAUAUGGGGGUGCUCCCCUCCACGGCCGAAGAAUCUCCUUUCAGCCGAGCGUUCUCCAGGAGACGCCCCGUCAGCAGAACUUACACUCGGAAGAAGCUGAUGAGCUAGUUGCGCCGGAAGUGCUGGAGGGGCUUAAACCUACGCGCACUACUGAGCCUGGCCAGAGCCGCUGCCUUCGGGGGCGGACAAAGCGCUCCGAGAGCCAUUUUCUCUGGCUGUGUUGGGAAUUCCAGGCUCCAAGCCUAGAGGAAUUCUUACCCCAGAAAGUCCGUGCAUCUGAGCCAGGGCCUGACUCAUCUGGCCUGCGUCCCCCUGGGCUCGCUGCAUAGAAACAGGAAUAGGCAGGGCUCCCUGGAACGGAGGAAGCUCAAGACGAAGCCAGCCCGCUCCCCGUGGGCCUGCAGGUACUAGGGCCCGGGCCGCUCUUCUGUGUCAGCUCCGGUUCCCACAGGAGUCCCUUAGGGGUUUUAAUCCCCCUCCUGGGCUGCAUUCCUCCCAGCCCUGCCCCCGGUUAGGGAGGGGGUAAGGCGGGUGCUCUAACAGCCUGGGAGGCAGACGGAAUUCUAAGAGCAGGCUCCCAUUCCAGCCCCCGCCUCUGAGAGACCAAGGUCAGUCCAACAACCCCUCCCCUCACUUGUGAAGUGGGAGAAAGGGCUCCUCACGGGUCCCUCACAAAGCUGAAGCCUGCGUCCGACAGCAGAAUAAAUUUCUUACUUUCCCCA